GACGAACGCUGGCGGCGUGCUUAACACAUGCAAGUCGAACGGAAAGGCCCUGCUUUUGUGGGGUGCUCGAGUGGCGAACGGGUGAGUAACACGUGAGUAACCUGCCCUUGACUGUGGGAUAACUUCAGGAAACUGGGGCUAAUACCGGAUAGGAGCUCCUGCUGCAUGGUGGGGGAUGGAAAGAUUCGGCGGUUGGGGAUGGACUAGCGGCUUAUCAGCUUGGUGGUGGGGUAGUGGCUUACCAAGGCUUUGACGGGUAGCCGGCCUGAGAGGGUGACCGGCCCCAUUGGGCCUGCGAUACGGCCCAGACUCCUACGGGCGGCAGCAGUGGGGAAUAUUGCACAGUGGGCGGAAGCCUGAUGCAGCGACGCCGCGUGCGGGAUGCCCGCCUUCGGGUUGUAAACCGCUUUCGCCUGUGCCGAAGCGUGCGUGACGGUACUGGGUCAAGAAGCACCGGCUAACUACGUG
rnacentral:rRNA from 1 species